CGAAUAGAACCGGAUGCGUUGCAUUGAGCCGAGAGAGACAAACAAAGUCAAGGUGAGUUUACGGUUUUAUUUAUUUAAUGUGUACAGUAUAUUUAUGGUUAAAAAAACAUACUUCGUAUUUUAAAGUGCAUUCCAUUUGAACGGGGAGGCGGGAAUUUCCCACUUUGCUAGGGACGUCACCCACUCAGGGUAACGUAUUUGGUGGAAGCUUAAGUGAGUGAGCGUGCUAUUGCUCUUUCGUAUUUUGGGUUGUCCAUGGGUUAUAGUUAGUGUCUAUACUUGAGGCUACGUAGCUAUUGUAAGUUUGUUUGUGUUUUUCCCCCCGCAUCGUCAUAGAUAUAUACAUGUGGAUGUCCGCUCUGACGCUGUUGUCCGGAACAAUGCGUUGAAGCGGCCGCCAUCUUGGGCCGGGGGCUGUGCAGGCCAGUGUAAAGACAAAGAACGUGUAAGCUCAGCUGAAUUGCCUAGUGCACCAAAGAUGCUUCAUGUGUUUGGCCCAGAUCCCAGAGGGAAUGAUUCUGAGGAUGAAGCUGUCUUACCAACAAGAAAACAAGUGCACCAUACUGGAGCUGGACCAGAGAGGCCAAGCGUCCCGUAGCCUGCACCAGGGAAGGAUUUCAUCGACUGACCUGCACCAGAGAAAGACUGUUUCCUCUGAGCCACAUCAGUUGAUAAGAAGACCACAAACCAGUCUUCAUAUAUCACACCUAGGCCUACCACAUCCAAGGGUUGAAAUCUGUAACUGAAGAAGAGGUGUUGAACCAAAUCUGCUACCAUUAGCUGAUCGCCAGUCUGUCCAAAACAUGGAGGAGCGGCUCAGGAAUAGUGCUGACCUCAAAAACCAUCUGAGAACUGCACUGGCUCUUAAAGGACGUUAAAGAGUGUAAAGAGUGUCAUGGGUGCAACCUUAACACUCUCGCCAAGAAUGUCAACAUGCUCGGUAUAAAUGGCAAGAUUGGCUUCCAGCACCUGCAAAUAAAGGAUGUUGUAAUUGAAGUCCACGGUGGGAAUGAUGGACUUACGGACAGCGCUGCUUCAUUUGGACUUCUGUGCCCUUUGUUAAUUUUUUACAAAGACUUUAGCCUCCCUGAUUUUAUUUGUUUUCCUUUUGUUAUCCUUAAGCUCACAUUCUUUUAAUGUAUUUCAAUUAUUGAUCUUAUAAUUUUAUUGGGUUGAAAGCAUAAUUUUUUUUUCCAUCCCCACUUAAUGUUGUUUCCCUCUGUUGUUCGCUCUCCAACAGUGUCACAUAUUAGUUGAUUUUUAUAUUAUUAUUUUUUAUAUAUUGUUAUUUUAAACAAGUUAUUCAAAUCAAAAUAAAUGUUAUUUGUAUAAUUGUAUCACCGUUGUUGUAGUAUUUUUAAUCUAGGCUGAAUAUUGCACAGUUUGAUUAAGGUAUUCAUUAGGCUGACACCUGGUGCCAGUGUGGAAACUGUUCUGGGCCAGUACAGGGCCACCAUUAGGCUGACAUCCGAUGCCAGUGUGGAAACUGUUCUGGGCCAGUACAGGGCCACCAUU